rnacentral:rRNA from 1 species
UACGGAGGGUGCAAGCGCUAUCCGGAUUUAUUGGGUUUAAAGGGUGCGUAGGCGGGCGGUCAAGUCAGCGGUAAAAAUGCGGUGCUCAACCUCCGCCCGCCGUUGAAACUGACGGUCUUGAGUGGGCGAGAAGUAUGCGGAAUGCGUGGUGUAGCGGUGAAAUGCAUAGAUAUCACGCAGAACUCCGAUUGCGAAGGCAGCAUACCGGCGCCCUACUGACGCUGAGGCACGAAAGUGCGGGUAUCGAACAGG